AAUAUAUAUAUUUUACUAAAUACUAAACUCAAUGUCUACGGCCACACCUAGGCGAAAACACCAGUUCCCGUCCGAUCACUGCAGUUAAGCGUCUGAGGGCCUCGUUAGUACUAUGGUUGGAGACAACAUGGGAAUCCGGGGUGCUGUAGGCUU